GUGGAAGAUGUGUCUGGGACAGAGAGAUUUCUCUGAACAAUUUUUUCCUGCCCUCUGUAGGCCUUGCUUGCCAUGGAAGUGACAAGUGUGUGUGGUUUAUACUCACAGACUGGGUGAAAAUAUGUGAUGCUUAUACUUGUUAGCUGGGGGUCUAAUUAUAAGGUUUGAGAACAAAAUAUGUUUAUAGAAAGAAAACCUUGAGAAACUGAAGAUAAUGAAACACCUGCAAAUUUAGUAAAACCCUAAAAGCAGAUUAAUUAGAAAGAUGUUUCUAUGCCAAGG